ACGAAACGAGAAGUCGACUCGCCUCUCGGCGUCCGGCCCUCCGCGAGCACCCGAGGGGGUUCGGGCCUCGGAUCGGAUCCGAUCCCGUCCCUUCUUCGGGGCUGUCCGCGAAUGGAGGUGUCCUCGGACGGAGUCGAAAGAUUCUCCGGUCCGCGACGCUACGGCUUGGAUGGUCCACCCGACCCGUCUUGAAACACGGACCAAGGAGUCUAACAUGCGCGCGAGUCGUUGGGUCGGAAACGCUCCGCUAAACCCAUAGGCGAAAUGAAAGUGAAGGCCACCGUACGGGCGGCCGAGGGAGGACGGGGCCGCUGACGCGGUCCCCGCACCCCCGGGGCGUCUGAUCCCUCAUCGCGAGGGGAGGCGCACCCAGAGCGCACACGUUGGGACCCGAAAGAUGGUGAACUAUGCCUGGCCAGGACGAAGUCAGGGGAAACCCUGAUGGAGGUCCGUAGCGAUUCUGACGUGCAAAUCGAUCGUCGGAGCUGGGUAUAGGGGCGAAAGACUAAUCGAACCAUCUAGUAGCUGGUUCCCUCCGAAGUUUCCCUCAGGAUAGCUUGCGCUCGGAGGAGAGUCUCAUCCGGUAAAGCGAAUGAUUAGAGGCCUUGGGGCCGAAACGGCUUCAACCUAUUCUCAAACUUUAAAUGGGUGAGAACUCCGGCUUGCUCGAUUACUCGAAGCCGGAGACGGGGACACGUCCCCCGGGAUCGGAGUGCACAGUGGGCCACUUUUGGUAAGCAGAACUGGCGCUGUGGGAUGAACCAAACGACGGGUUAAGGCGCCCGAAUCGACGCUCAUGGGAAACCAUGAAAGGUGUUGGUUGCUUAAGACAGCAGGACGGUGGCCAUGGAAGUCGGAAUCCGCUAAGGAGUGUGUAAUAACUCACCUGCCGAAGCAACUAGCCCUGAAAAUGGAUGGCGCUGAAGCGUCGUGCCUAUACCCGGCCGUCGCCGCAAGACGGACCCGGCCCCGCGCCGGGUGCCGCCUGACGCGGCGACGAGUAGGAGGGUCGCGGCGGCGAGCGCAGAAGGGUCUGGGCUCGAGCCUGCCUGGAGCCGCCGCCGGUGCAGAUCUUGGUGGUAGUAGCAAAUACUCCAGCGAGGCCCUGGAGGACUGAUGUGGAGAAGGGUUUCGUGUGAACAGCCGUUGCACACGAGUCAGUCGAUCCUAAGCCCUAGGAGAAAUCCGACGCCAACGGCGACGGGAAAAAACGAAAGAGCGAAUGAAACCCGUUGAUCGGGCGAAAGGGAAUCCGGUUCCUAUUCCGGAACCCGGCAGCGGAACCGCUGUUUGUCGGGCCCUCACAAGGGGUUCGUCAGGGUAACCUAAAAGGGCCCGGAGACGCCGUCGGGAGCCCCGGAAAGAGUUUUCUUUUCUGCAUGAGCGUUCGAGUUCCCUG
rnacentral:rRNA from 2 species